GCUGAACUUAAGCAUAUCAAUAAGCGGAGGAAAAGAAACCAACAGGGAUUGCCUCAGUAACGGCGAGUGAAGCGGCAAAAGCUCAAAUUUGAAAGCUUGCACCUUUGGUGUACGCGUUGUAAUUUGAAGAAGGUAUCUUUGGAGUUGGCCCUUGUCUAUGUUCCUUGGAACAGGACGUCAUAGAGGGUGAGAAUCCCGUCUGAUGGGGUGUCCAACUCUUUGUAAAGAGCCUUCGAAGAGUCGAGUUGUUUGGGAAUGCAGCUCUAAGUGGGUGGUAAAUUCCAUCUAAAGCUAAAUAUUGGCGAGAGACCGAUAGCGAACAAGUACAGUGAUGGAAAGAUGAAAAGAACUUUGAAAAGAGAGUGAAAAAGUACGUGAAAUUGUUGAAAGGGAAGGGCAUUAGAUCAGACUUGGUGUUUUGUGAUUAUCUUCCUCUUGUAGGUUGUGCACUCGCAUUUCACUGGGCCAGCAUCGAUUCGGAUGGCAAGAUAAUGACAUUGGAACGUGGCUGCCUUCGGGUAGUGUUAUA
rnacentral:rRNA from 1 species